UUUUAUUUUUCUAGCCUGAUUAUCAAAAAAAAAAUCAAACCAUCUUUGUUUGCCUUUUCCCAGUUUGAAAUUCAGGCUGUCUGAAUUGCUCUUGAAUGCACAAUAGUGGGCCUGGGUACUAAGUGAGAAGCUGCAAGUUUUGUUUCUUCUGUUGGCCUGGAUGUAAUUCUAGAAGGAAUUGCCACUAAUUUUAGAGUGAGCCACAUAAUAGAUCCUUUGAGAGAAGCAGUGGAGGUGCUGUGGAAGGUCAUUGACUCAGUUUCUGAACAUGCCAAGAGGAUGCAGGCAAAUGGUGGUGUGAAUUCAUGCAAGUCAAAAACACCUGAUAACAAGACACAAGAGGGCAGCUUAAAAACAGGAGGAAGCAGCAAGAUUCUGACACUUCCUGCAGAAAGCCAUAGGGAAGGCUUUGCAGAGCAAUCCUCUUUACAUCAGAACUCAACUACUCAUCAGUAUGGAAGGUGCAAAGAAGAAAGGGUCUGACUUUGAUCUGACAGCAACAGGAGAGCAAGCCUGGAUGGAGUCUUAAGUAUUGAACAAUGAGAAGACCCAAGAAAUUAGACCAAUUAAGACAACUUAGUUCUAGACUUUUACACAGUACUCAUCAAUCCUGCCUCAUCUGACACACGUGCUAAGGUAAUUUUUCACUUGCAUUAAUAUAAAAUUAGAUGAGUAAAUCAGUAGUACAUAUGUUGUUUAGACUAGUUACCA
rnacentral:lncRNA from 1 species